GACGAACGCUGGCGGCGUGCUUAACACAUGCAAGUCGAGCGGUAAGGCCCUUUCGGGGGUACACGAGCGGCGAACGGGUGAGUAACACGUGGGUGACCUGCCCUCAGCUCUGGGAUAAGCCUGGGAAACCGGGUCUAAUACCGGAUAUGACUCCAUGACGCAUGUUGUGGGGUGGAAAGCCUUGUGCGGCUGAGGAUGGGCCCGCGGCCUAUCAGCUUGUUGGUGGGGUGAUGGCCUACCAAGGCGACGACGGGUAGCCGGCCUGAGAGGGCGACCGGCCACACUGGGACUGAGACACGGCCCAGACUCCUACGGGAGGCAGCAGUGGGGAAUUUUGGACAAUGGGCGCAAGCCUGAUCCAGCCAUGCCGCGUGCGGGAUGAAGGCCUCGGUUGUAA
rnacentral:rRNA from 1 species